ACCUGCCUGUAAGACUGGGAUAACUCCGGGAAACCGGGGCUAAUACCGGAUGGUUGUUUGAACCGCAUGGUUCAAACAUAAAAGGUGGCUUCGGCUACCACUUACAGAUGGACCCGCGGCGCAUUAGCUAGUUGGUGAGGUAACGGCUCACCAAGGCAACGAUGCGUAGCCGACCUGAGAGGGUGAUCGGCCACACUGGGACUGAGACACGGCCCAGACUCCUACGGGAGGCAGCAGUAGGGAAUCUUCCGCAAUGGACGAAAGUCUGACGGAGCAACGCCGCGUGAGUGAUGAAGGUUUUCGGAUCGUAAAGCUCUGUUGUUAGGGAAGAACAAGUACCGUUCGAAUAG
rnacentral:rRNA from 1 species